rnacentral:lncRNA from 1 species
GGGUGGGGCUUGAAUGGGGUGUGGUGGGGCUUGAAUGGGGUGUGGUUGGGCUUGGACAGGGCUUCGUGGGAGGCCCCUGGUAGGGAAAUUGGGAUAGGAAAGGGGAAGAGGCAUCACAGGUCUUAGUUCAUGCAACUUUGAUUUAAAAAGUUUUUUGGGAUUCCAUCAGUGCUUCUCAAACUAUAAUGUGAGCGUAAACACCUGGGGGUAUUGUUAAAAUGCAGAUUCUGAUUUAGUAGGGCCGUAUGGGGCCUGAGAUUAUGUAUUUCUAACAAACGCUCAGGCGAUGCCAAUGCUGCUGGUCCCAGAACCACACUUUGAACACUAAGGGACUGAAUUACAAGAAAAACUCCUAACAACAAUCUAGUGAAAAUAAAACCAAAGAGAGGAAGGAAGCUGCUCGUGGCAUCACAGACAGAUUGCCAUUCAGCAUCACUUUCCAUCUGCGCUUCCUGGAAGUCAUGGCAAGAAAGGAAAGAAGUAUUUACCAACUCUUACUCUAUGAUAACAGAGACAGCUGCCUAUCACCAAUACGAAGUCUUUUCCCCAAUUCUGGCCGUCCAGGAAAUUGAUCAAGCAGAUCUUCCUAUCAGGAGAUUUGAAAAGCAGGCUGUAGCAGGGCUUUUGAUGGAAAGGACUCAGACCGGCACCUCAGUAGGGUGAAUCCCUGAUGCGGAGUCAUCAUGGUUCUGAUAACACAGUGCCCCGGUGCCCAGCCUGAGCUAGUGCCAGGGUCAAUGCCCACAGGAAACCAUCCUUCCAUCACUUACUGGCUCAGGCACUAGUGGACUCAAACGCCCCUGCCGAUGGAGGAACCCUGGAGCUGUGAUGC